rnacentral:rRNA from 1 species
UAGUGUUUUUCUUACAAAAGGACAUGUCUUUCAGAACAAAAGAUACAAAAAUACCACACGUAUAUUUGCAGAUAACAAAUGUGAUCAACCAAGCAUUCCAUGGCAACAAGCACCGCCAUCAUCUUGGUACAAUAGCAUGAAAAUUCUAGUGACAUAAAUUUAUCAACUUGAUUGUGUGGAAAUCGAUAUGAUGGCAAUUUUCACCACAUAACACAUAGAAAAUCUGCACAUAAUAUUUAACAGAGAAGCAGUGUAAUAGCUAACAAAGAAUCUACUCUUGGUUAAUGGAUUCAGUCAGAUUAAUGAACCACUUUCCCUCCAUAAACAA